UACGGAGGGAGCUAGCGUUGUUCGGAAUUACUGGGCGUAAAGCGUGCGUAGGCGGUGACUCAAGUCAGAGGUGAAAGCCUGGAGCUCAACUCCAGAACUGCCUUUGAAACUAGGUCGCUAGAAUCUGGGAGAGGUGAGUGGAAUUCCGAGUGUAGAGGUGAAAUUCGUAGAUAUUCGGAAGAACACCAGUGGCGAAGGCGGCUCACUGGACCAGAAUUGACGCUGAGGCACGAAAGCGUGGGGAGCAAACAGGAUUAGAAACCCCGGUAGU
rnacentral:rRNA from 1 species